UAAAAAGUAUGUAUCAAUUGAAAUCAGCUGGAGACGCCAUUAACACCAUGAUGAGUACAUCGAAGAUAAUUUGUCUUAGAACCAAUUCUUCAUUUUCAUUCUUACUAUAAAGAAAAUUAGAUAUCCUUAACAAUACUCUAGAAGCUGAAGGCUUAGAAGAGCCUGUUAGAGAUAAUAGCCCAAAUACAUCUGCCAGCUAUCAAAAUACUCUUGAAGAUGAGUGUUUAGAGGAAUCGGAAAGAGAUGUAAACCAUAUUAUAUCUGCCAGCUAUCAAAAUACUCUUGAAGAUGAGUGUUUAGAGGAAUCAGAAGGAGAUGUAAACCAUGUAAGAUAUGGUCUUUCAACAAAUAUAAAAAUGUGUCAAUUACUUGGUGCCUCUUUGGACCCAAAUAAUUGUAUCCUUAUUUUCUUCAUCCGAGCAAUUAUAAGGAAAAAGUUUAUGUUAUUUUGGACGUUUGCCAUAUGAUGAAACUCCUUAGAAAUCUACUCGGCGAUAAAAAAUUUUUAAUCAAUAAUGGAGUAGUAAUAAAUUGGAAAUAUAUAGCAAACCUUCAUGAUUUACAGGAUAAGGAAGGACUAAGGGCUGCAAAUAAAAUGGGCCGUUCUCAUAUUGAUUAUCAUAAGCAGAAAAUGAAAGUUAAACUUGCCAUUCAAGUUUUUAGUAGCUCAAUACCAAAAGGUAUUCUUUUAGCACAUGAGCUAAAAAUUGAUGGGUUUGAAAACUGUGAAGGCACAGUAGACUUUAUUCAAAUGAUUGAUUGUACUCGAAACAUGUGCUAAAGGGUUUAAGGCCCCACUAUCUAAAAGAUCUCUUCCAUAUUAUGAAGAUUAUUUUGAAAAAUGUAUCAAUACUCUUAAAGCUUUAAAGUUUGAAGAUGGGUUAAUAGCAUCAAUGAAGAAUAUUCUGGAUAUUAAGAAUGAAUUAUUAUUGGGACCUAAUCCCAAACUCAAUUAUGUUUUAACCUACAAAACAUCACAAGAUCAUCUUGAACUAUUUUUUAGUUGUUUACGCAGCAGAGGAGGUUUUAACAAUAAUCCUUCUACUUAUCAAUUACGAUCGGCCAUAAGAGAUGUCUUGGUAGCAAAACUAGAAGUGAUAACAACAGGUAAUUGUAUUCCAAUCGAUAAUAUUAAUCUAAUUUGUGGAGAUUUUCAGAAAAAUGCUGACAAUAACAACCAUAUUAAUCUUUAUGAAAAUUCGUUAACAUUUGUUCCUAAUAUUGCGACAUUAUCACUCUACCUUGAAAAUGUAUCAACCUAUAUAGCAGGGUAUAUAAUACACAUAAUAUCUGAAAAAAAAGUAACAUGUUAUACAUGCAUAACAGGUAUGAUGGAUUAUCAAAAUCAUAAAAAUAGUGAUGCUUAUAAUUUGAUAAAAAUAAAAAACAAUCAGGUGUUAAUAAUUCCUUCUAAGAGUGUUUCAAUAUUAUGCCAAAUUUCUGAAAGUGCAUUCCAUGUUUUUGAAAAAUCAUUGCUAAUAAAUAAAAAAUUUAUUUUCAAAAGGAUUGUAUCAUUUAUUCUUUUUAAAGCACAUCAAACAAAUAUUUUUGAUGAACUUAUUGAUCAUAUGCUUAAUCAAGAAGCACUAUUCUCCCAUUAUCAAAUUCUAAUUACAUUAAUAAUUGAACAUUAUUUGCACAUUCUAUUUCAUCAUUAUGGUAAUAAUCUAAAUAGAAAAUCGAAUAUCAAUAUUUGUCAGAAAUUGACCAAAACAAUUUUAUUUAAUGGCCAAUGAAUAAAUUGUAUAGUGUGUCUGAAUUAAGAUUCCUUUUUUU